AUGUACUUGUCUCCUGACAGAGCCCUCUUCUCUUGGAGGCUUGUGUUAAAAAAAAAAAAAAUUAACUCCCUGAAAAAACCAACAUGUACCAGCACUUUUAAAGAAAUAUCUAGAAAGUCCCAUGACAUUUUUAUGAUAACCUUUUCCCUCCUUCUUCUAGGUCUGAGUGCCAAUCUCAAGAUUCACAAUCUCUCAUCUUUAAAGCUAUCUAGAGGUGCGCCUUCUGCCUGCCUUGUCUCUAAGUCCCAGUUCAAAGGUCUUCUGUGUCUGGACCAUUCUGACCAGGUCCAAGGAGAACUUGAGUUGUGUGUGUCUACAGGAGAGGCCAGAUGGAAUCCCGUAUUUGCUGACCACCAAGCAAGGGCACCACGUGUCCUGUUCCCAGCUGAGCCAGGGGAGCCAAUGAUCCAGCGAGUUCAUCUUCCAUGCCCUGGUGUUCCUCUGUCUCCUACUUGUUCUAUUAUCUUUGAAAAUGUUAUGCUCAUUAGCAUCCCCACUGAACACAGGAAAGACAGGACUUACAGACGUUUUCCUCUUGCCUGCUUCAAAGGAGCAGAGUAG
rnacentral:lncRNA from 1 species